AUGCUAGAACAUUUUGAAGUUGGCCACUCUUUAACAUAAAAGUUGAUGAGUUUUGAGGAAAUAAUGAAAACUUGAACCAACAAUGGCUGCACAUAGAAUGUCAUUAGGUUGAUGCCAUAUUUAACAUGUCCUAAAAUGACACAUCAUGCCAAAAGAGAGAAAUGAUAACUAGACUAAAGUAUAAGGCGAGAGUGGGGGCAAG
rnacentral:misc_RNA from 1 species